UACGUAGGUGGCAAGCGUUGUCCGGAUUUACUGGGCGUAAAGCGCGCGCAGGCGGUCGAUUUAGUCGCGUGUGAAAGCCCCCGGCUCAACUGGGGAGGGUCACGCGAUACUGAUCGACUCGAAGGCAGGAGAAGGUAGUGGAAUUCCCGGUGUAGUGGUGAAAUGCGUAGAUAUCGGGAGGAACACCAGUGGCGAAGGCGACUACCUGGCCUGUUCUUGACGCUGAGGCGCGAAAGCUAGGGGAGCAAACAGG
rnacentral:rRNA from 1 species